AACGAACGCUGGCGGCAUGCCUAACACAUGCAAGUCGAACGAGACCUUCGGGUCUAGUGGCGCACGGGUGCGUAACGCGUGGGAACCUGCCCUUAGGUUCGGAAUAACUCCCCGAAAGGGGUGCUAAUACCGGAUAAUGUCUUCGGACCAAAGAUUUAUCGCCUUUGGAUGGGCCCGCGUUGGAUUAGCUAGUUGGUAGGGUAAAAGCCUACCAAGGCGACGAUCCAUAGCUGGUCUGAGAGGAUGAUCAGCCACACUGGGACUGGGACACGGCCCAGACUCCUACGGGAAGCAGCAGUGGGGAAUAGUGGACAAUGGGCGAAAGCCUGAUCCAGUAAUGCCGCGUGAGUGAUGAAGGCCUUAGGGUUGUAAAGCUCUUGUACCCGGGAUGAUAAUGACAGUACCGGGAGAAUAAGCUCCGGCUAACUCCGUG
rnacentral:rRNA from 1 species